rnacentral:misc_RNA from 1 species
CGUGACGCACCACAACCCACCCUGUGCGGGGAGGGAGUGGAGAUUGGCCUCCCGCGACGAAAGCACGGCUGGCUGAAAUCGUAGCCCCGGCGCCAGGACGACGCGAUCAGUGGUGGUUGACGAGAAUCCUUGUCAAGCAAGUGACGCGGUCGGAGCGGCACGCAUCGGGGCGGAGCACCCAUUUCUUAUACCUUGC